rnacentral:lncRNA from 1 species
CUCCCACAGUGUCUGGGGUGGGGCACCGCAGUGGCUGUCCCCAUCCUUGGCUGGCAGCAGCAUGGCACCUACCUCUGAGCCAGUGGUGCCUGUGGACAUUGUUCUUAUUUAUCAGAUGAAGCUGGGGUUGGAGAUGGAGUUGUCAUCUUGUGACCUCAAAGCAACCAGCAUGAUAACAAAAGCCAGCACACCACAGACGGCAGAAUGGAAAGGCAGUAAGAAUCUGGGUCCGGUCUCUCACAAGGUUGUUGAGUCACUACACCAGUCCUGGAAUGCUGAUCUCUGGAGAACUUGUUAGACAGUCUUCCCACCACCUUGUUCCGAGGCUCUGGGUGAGUGUUCCAGAAGCUGACGAGAUGCAGGAUCGUCUCCCUCACACACACAAAUGCCAUGGCAACAGCAACUCCGUGACAACAGCAAAGAAAGCCAGACUGGAAUUUGCCAACCCAGAGUGUUGACCAUCUGUGAGGCCAAACCCUCCAAAUGUUGCCCGUUCUAAGUGCUCAUCUCAACCAGGCUUUUGUACAUAGCAGAGGCGACAUUUAAGUGACAUAAGAAUAAACAUUGGGCACAUGUGAAAUCCCUUUAAAGUGUGCAUUUUUCUGCCCCAAUGUGACUGAGAUGAUGACACAAUGAAGAAAAAGGGGGGACUAGGUUUGAGUGAGUGGGCA